CCCACCGCUUACACACAUACACCCCGCUUGUGUGAACUUAAACACACAUACACACACGACAGACGCGUGUGGUUGACCGCACCGGGCUCUCGGCUAUGUGUGAAGACGCGCGGCACGCCAAAGAAGCAGCACUACUGAAUCUGACGCUCGCUUUUUAGCAGGACCGCCAACCAGAUCGCAUCGAAAAACCAUCCUCCUCCUACUCUCUCUCUCUCUCUCUCUCUCUCUCUUUCUCUCUCUCUUUUCAGUUGUACUUGUGUGAACAGAGCUGGAGAAAAGGAAAUACCUCCCCCCAUCUCUCUCUCUCUCUCUCUCUCUCUCUCUCUCUCUCUCUCUCUCUUUCUCUGUCCUAUGGUGGGAUAAACAGUGAAAAGAUGAGCCUGUGAUACAGCACCAGACCUGAGUGACCUGACAGCUCAAACUAAUCCUGUUCAGACAAGAAGGAAUGCUGCCAGUUGAAGCCUAGACUCUGAUAGCUGUGGAGAAUAACAGUCUACUUCCCGGAAGAAUACAAGACUUAUCUGAUCUGCACAAGACUAACUUUUAAACUACGUUGAACAGAAUUAUCCCAGUAGCUCGAUCAAGCUGAGCACGGCCGAUCAGGUAAAACUAUUUAGUAAGCUUCCUCUCUGACAGAAGUAAUUUAAAAAAAAGGAUGAAAAGAGCAAGCCAUCCGCACUGUAUAGGGGAACGAGGAGAACUGCUUGCUCUGAUCGAGGUGGAAUGAGUGCAUGUGUGUGGGUUACUUUUCUGGAAGGGGAAUUCAGCUGUGCAUAAGUUUUCUUGCCUUGAGUUUUGAUGAUAAUAAUCACGUUGGCUGCUCCCGACCUGUAAUUUCUCAGAUCUGAGAUGUUUGCGAGUAAUUAACAACCUGUUCGGUGCUGUCUUUACUCAGUUCUGUGCCCUGCAUCCCUGUCUGAUACCACCACUGUUCGGUUUAAUAAUGUCUAAGGAGGUUUAUAAGGAGGCUAUUUAGACACUUUGGA